UACGUAGGUGGCAAGCGUUGUCCGGAAUUAUUGGGCGUAAAGCGCGCGCAGGCGGUCCUUUAAGUCUGCUGUGAAAGCCCACGGCUCAACCGUGGAGGGUCAUUGGAAACUGGGGGACUUGAGUACAGAAGAGAAGAGUGGAAUUCCACGUGUAGCGGUGAAAUGCGUAGAGAUGUGGAGUAACACCAGUGGCGAAGGCGACUCUUUGGUCUGUAACUGACGCUGAGGUGCGAAAGCGUGGGGAGCAAACAGG
rnacentral:rRNA from 1 species